AUUUUCCCGGUUGAUGUCACACCGAAGGGGUACAUUAUGUUUGACCUAAUCUUGGUUUAAUAUGGUCUUUGCUUUUGAAAUGCUACAACUAUACUCUAAUUCUUGUUAUCAUUUAAUGGUGGAAUUUUCUUUAGUAAGAGAUAUCAACGUUUGAGUAGUCGGUUUUUUAUGUGAAGACUGAAGACCUUGAUCACAAAUGCGAUAGAAAGUUUUUAGCUAGUUUACCUUCCCAUUCAUUCUUUUAUAAGGGUGCUCUUCAGCUGGUCAUAUGCCAAUUAUGAAGGAGUCUUAAAAAAAAUGAAAAUAACUAGAGCUUACUGGCACUCUAGAAUGAUCUUCUUUGCUAGUGCUGAAUGCUGAUGAUCACAAAUAAACUUGGAUGUUUUAUUUUAUUAGGUUGGGAUAUAUGUGGAUGCCUUUUGUGAAGAUCUCAGCGGAUUAUGUAGGUACUGGUUGGCAUGGAGUCACUCUACACGUUUUAGUGUAUUUGUCAGUAUUUUGGUAAGUGAAGAGUCUUACGCUGCAGCUGAAAAGGAAUUAAUUAUUUAUUUUGCAUGUAACGAGUGUAUAUUGUAGAGAUAAGUCUUGAGAAUAAUGGAG
rnacentral:lncRNA from 1 species